GAUGAAGAACGCAGCGAAACGCGAUAAGUAAUGUGAAUUGCAGAAUCCAGUGAAUCAUCGAAUCUUUGAACGCACAUUGCGCCCGCCAGCAUUCUGGCGGGCAUGCCUGUUCGAGCGUCAUUUCAACCCUCGACCUCCCCUUGGGGAGGUCGGCGUUGGGGACCGGCAGCACACCGCCGGCCCUGAAAUGGAGUGGCGGCCCGUCCGCGGCGACCUCUGCGUAGUAAUCCAACUCGCACCGGAACCCCGACGCGGCCACGCCGUAAAACACCCAACUUCUGAACGUUGACCUCGAAUCAGGUAGGACUACCCGCUGAACUUAAGCAUAUCAAUAAGCGGAGGA
rnacentral:misc_RNA from 1 species